ACGAACGCUGGCGGCGUGCUUAACACAUGCAAGUCGAACGGAAAGGCCCUGCUUUUGUGGGGUGCUCGAGUGGCGAACGGGUGAGUAACACGUGAGUAACCUGCCCUUGACUUUGGGAUAACUUCAGGAAACUGGGGCUAAUACCGGAUAGGAGCUCCUGCUGCAUGGUGGGGGUUGGAAAGUUUCGGCGGUUGGGGAUGGACUCGCGGCUUAUCAGCUUGUUGGUGGGGUAGCGGCUUACCAAGGCUUUGACGGGUAGCCGGCCUGAGAGGGUGACCGGCCACAUUGGGACUGAGAUACGGCCCAGACUCCUACGGGAGGCAGCAGUGGGGAAUAUUGCACAAUGGGCGGAAGCCUGAUGCAGCAACGCCGCGUGCGGGAUGACGGCCUUCGGGUUGUAAACCGCUUUCGCCUGUGACGAAGCGUGAGUGACGGUAAUGGGUAAAGAAGCACCGGCUAACUACGUG
rnacentral:rRNA from 1 species